rnacentral:rRNA from 1 species
UACGGAGGGGGCUAGCGUUGUUCGGAAUUACUGGGCGUAAAGCGCACGCAGGCGGCUUUGCAAGUUAGAGGUGAAAGCCCGGGGCUCAACUCCGGAAUUGCCUUUAAAACUGCAUCGCUAGAAUUGUGGAGAGGUAAGUGGAAUUCCGAGUGUAGAGGUGAAAUUCGUAGAUAUUCGGAAGAACACCAGUGGCGAAGGCGACUUACUGGACACAUAUUGACGCUGAGGUGCGAAAGCGUGGGGAGCAAACAGG